GCAUCAUAAAAAUACCAUGUUCUUAAAAAUAUCGUCGGUAAACGUAAGCAUAUAACACAAGUUAAACGCGGCUAUUAAAACUUUCAUUUUCGGAAUGAAAUUUAUUUGGCGAAAUAUGAAAUUGGAACCAAAUUUACAAACUCCGUUGCAAAAACAUAAGCGCGUCAUGGGUCUGCAUGAUGCAAUAAAACUUGUAUGUUUACAUUUUGUAAUCAUCUCGAACAGUAUUUCUUAGCAAGCUUAUUCGCGUUUUUUGAAGAUUUGUGAUAAAUAAGUAAAUGUGUGGUUAUGUGCGAUUCUGCGGACAUGGAUUCUGAUGCGGCUGGAGUAAUUACAUGCUAUCUAGAAGUGACUGUUUUCGUUAAUGGAUUCGAGUGCUUGUUGCUGUAGAAAAUCAUCAUCAAAAAGCACGGUAUAAUUUAAAAAAGAAGAUUGAUCUGCUUGCCGUACGUGAAUUUAUUCGAUAGGAAAACUGUAAAUUUACCAGAAGAAGCUUGUUUUAGAAUCGGUGUCAACUUUGGCCCUGCGUUUUUGGCCACUUCAUGUUUGUAGGAAUGCGAAUUGUCGAAAUUUGAAUUUGUCCUUAGUGUUGUUCCGAUAAGACAAUCAGCCUGGUCUACAAGCUGUCUAAAUAGCAGAACACACCGGUUAAAGUUAAGCUGAAGCAUCGUACACUAAAGGAGUUGAAGAAGACCAUCAAGGGCAAGCGACACAAACGGGACUUCCGUCAGAAUACCCUUCGUGGUGCUAGUGAUAUUAGGCGACCCUAGCGACCGGCCAUCGCCUCAGGCCACUGUCUUCGUACGGCUACCACUGCCUCAAAACGGCCCUGUAAACAAUGAUGAACGAUGGAUGUGAGGUUCCAGCGAAUUUUUAUUAUGGGCGCUUUCGGAGAAUUGGCAUCAAACCGACUCGCUUAUGUAAUACAAAAAGGACGUAGGUUCCGUAAUAAAGCUCAAUAAGUUGGAAUGCACUUUGUGAGUAGACUAUGAAAAAUAAAUGGUCGAUAAAAUCUACUAUUGGAAGCUUACUGCUUUUUUGAAGUUAACUCCUGCUAUUUAUUCGCGAACUUUAUUAGGUUUAUAUGCAACUAUGCACUUUUUAAACAAACAGGUUUUAAAUGAAUGGAACUUUGCCAGCUUUUUUAUUAAGCAGUUGUCUUAGCUUUUUCGUCACAUCCGUAAAUUUAUUCAAUCGCGCUCUAGUUUACUCUAAAGAGCAUAAUUCAAGAAAUAUUUUACGUGUGCUUCAAUGACCACGCGAUGUAAUGGUAAAGUGUUUGGGUGUGCUCCGUGGUGGCCCUCGUUGGCGUUAUGUUCACUCGAGCGCAUAAUCAAUCAUACCACAAAAACAACGUGUUAGUUUUUAUUUCAGGUACAAGUGGCAAUAAUUUGGGUUUGGCUUGCUUUGUUUUGAGUGAUACAAACUAUUAACGAUUGGAUUGGUAGCCGAAGUUAAUUGGAAAUUUCGAUUUUCUUGUAUAUCGGCACAGCGAUUAUGAUACGGUUUCAUUGCAUUGUCUCCUGGUGGUCGGAAGCCCAGAGACCAAGUAGUAACCUUAUCAUGAACGUUGUUGUAUAGCAACGAUUGCACCACCUACCACAGUGAUCCAGAUCAGUUCCAUGCCGCUACCACUAAUUCCUUUCUUUGAUACUUGUAGAUGCUGCACAGGGUUCC